rnacentral:piRNA from 1 species
UCUGGGUUGGAAGGUAUACUGAGGGCUUGA